AUUGAACGCUGGCGGCAUGCCUUACACAUGCAAGUCGAACGGUAACAGGUUAAGCUGACGAGUGGCGAACGGGUGAGUAAUGUAUCGGAACGUGCCCAGUCGUGGGGGAUAACUGCUUGAAAGAGCAGCUAAUACCGCAUACGACCUGAGGGUGAAAGCGGGGGAUCGCAAGACCUCGCGCGAUUGGAGCGGCCGAUAUCAGAUUAGGUAGUUGGUGGGGUAAAGGCCUACCAAGCCGACGAUCUGUAGCUGGUCUGAGAGGACGACCAGCCACACUGGGACUGAGACACGGCCCAGACUCCUACGGGAGGCAGCAGUGGGGAAUUUUGGACAAUGGACGCAAGUCUGAUCCAGCCAUGCCGCGUGCGGGAAGAAGGCCUUCGGGUUGUAAACCGCUUUUGUCAGGGAAGAAACGCUCUGGGUUAAUACCUCGGGGUAAUGACGGUACCUGAAGAAUAAGCACCGGCUAACUACGUGCCAGCCGCCGCCGUAA
rnacentral:rRNA from 1 species